CUAGCUAGCAAAGCCAAAAAGGAAUUCUUUUGAAAAGCCUAGGCUGGUGCCUUGCUUAAGCUCAGGAGUUCUAAACUGCAGUUGGGCAGAAGCCAAAUAGAAGUCCACUUUAACUGUGGGGUAAAUAUGGUAAGAGUCCAAGAGUAAGAGGAGGGAGCACCAGGCUAUCUAAGAAAAAGAAGUGGGGGCUGGGUCAGAAAUGGAGCAGGUCGAAGUUCUCAUGUAGAUGAGUGGGAUGGCUGGGGGGGAAGCUGCUGAAUUUUCAUUCUGAGUGAGAAAGAGAUACAGACUUAAAAAAGAAAAGAAAAAGAGAUGAAGAGCUACAGGUUCUCCCUUCUGUCAAUCAAGAAGAAUAAAGUGCAUAAGGCAAGAAUCAUAUUGAGGAAAGG
rnacentral:lncRNA from 1 species